AUUGAACGCUGGCGGCAGGCCUAACACAUGCAAGUCGAGCGGAUGAAGGGAGCUUGCUCCUGGAUUCAGCGGCGGACGGGUGAGUAAUGCCUAGGAAUCUUCCUGGUAGUGGGGGAUAACGUCCGGAAACGGGCGCUAAUACCGCAUACGUCCUGAGGGCGACAGUGGGGGAUCUUCGGACCUCACGCUAUCAGAUGAGCCUAGGUCGGAUUAGCUAGUUGGUUGGGUAAAGGCCUACCAAGGCGACGAUCCGUAACUGGUCUGAGAGGAUGAUCAGGCACACUGGAACUGAGACAAGGUCCAGACUCCUACGGGAGGCAGCAGUGGGGAAUAUUGGACAAUGGGCGAAAGCCUGAUCCAGCCAUGCCGCGUGUGUGAAGAAGGUCUUCGGGUUGUAAAGCACUUUAAGUUGGGAGGAAGGGCAGUAAGUUAAUACCUUGCUGUUUUGACGUUACCAACAGAAUAAGCACCGGCUAACUUCGUG
rnacentral:rRNA from 1 species